CUGAUGUUAUUUAAAGGGGAAAGUUUCGAGUCGACCUUUGUGUUGCUGGAUUUACAAAGCGUUAAGUGGCAAAGGAGAGAA